rnacentral:rRNA from 1 species
UACGUAGGGUGCAAGCGUUGUCCGGAAUUAUUGGGCGUAAAGAGCUCGUAGGCGGUCUGUCACGUCGGCUGUGAAAACCCGAGGCUCAACCUCGGGCCUGCAGUCGAUACGGGCAAACUAGAGUACUGCAGGGGAGACUGGAAUUCCUGGUGUAGCGGUGAAAUGCGCAGAUAUCAGGAGGAACACCGGUGGCGAAGGCGGGUCUCUGGGCAGUAACUGACGCUGGAGGAGCGAAA